rnacentral:rRNA from 1 species
UGGGGAAUUUUGGACAAUGGGCGAAAGCCUGAUCCAGCAAUGCCGCGUGUGUGAAGAAGGCCUUCGGGUUGUAAAGCACUUUUGUCCGGAAAGAAAUCCUUGGCUCUAAUACAGUCGGGGGAUGACGGUACCGGAAGAAUAAGCACCGGCUAACUACGUGCCAGCAGCCGCGGUAAUACGUAGGGUGCAAGCGUUAAUCGGAAUUACUGGGCGUAAAGCGUGCGCAGGCGGUUUGCUAAGACCGAUGUGAAAUCCCCGGGCUCAACCUGGGAACUGCAUUGGUGACUGGCAGGCUAGAGUAUGGCAGAGGGGGGUAGAAUUCCACGUGUAGCAGUGAAAAUGCGUAGAGAUGUGGAGGAAUACCGAUGGCGAAGGCAGCCCCCUGGGCCAAUACUGACGCUCAUGCACGAAAAGCGUGGGGAGCAAACAGGAUUAGAUACCCUGGUAGUCCACGCCCUAAAACGAUGUCAACUAGUUGUUGGGGGAUUCAUUUCCUUAGUAACGUAGCUAACGCGUGAAGUUGACCGCCUGGGGGAGUACGGUCGCAAGAUUAAAAACUC